rnacentral:rRNA from 1 species
UACGUAGGUCGCAAGCGUUAUCCGGAUUUACUGGGCGUAAAGCGUCCGCAGCCGGUUACAUAAGUCUACUUUUAAAAACCAGUGCUCAACAUUGGAGAGGGAGUGGAUACUGUGUAACUCGAGACUAACAGAGGUGAGUAGAAUUUCCAGUGGAGGGGUGAAAUCCGUUGAUAUUGGAAGGAAUACCGAAAGCGAAGGCAGCUCACUAUGUUAAGUCUGACGGUAAGGGACGAAAGUUUGGGUAGCAAACGGG